UACGGAGGGUGCAAGCGUUAUCCGGAUUUACUGGGUUUAAAGGGUGCGCAGGCGGAUAUGUAAGUCAGUGGUGAAAUCUCUGGGCUUAACCCGGAACUGCCGUUGAUACUAUCUGUCUUGAAUAUAGUGGAGGUGAGCGGAAUAUGUCAUGUAGCGGUGAAAUGCUUAGAUAUGACAUAGAACAUCGAUUGCGAAGGCAGCUCGCUACACUAUGAUUGACACUGAGGCACGAAAGCGUGGGGGAUCAAAACAGG
rnacentral:rRNA from 1 species